UACGUAGGGUGCGAGCGUUAAUCGGAAUUACUGGGCGUAAAGGGCGCGUAGGCGGCGUGACAAGUCACUUGUGAAAUCUCCGGGCUUAACCCGGAGCGGCCAAGUGAUACUGUCGUGCUAGAGUGCGGAAGGGGCUACUGGAAUUCUCGGUGUAGCGGUGAAAUGCGUAGAUAUCGAGAGGAACACCUGCGGCGAAGGCGGGUAGCUGGGCCGACACUGACGCUGAGGCGCGAAAGCCAGGGGAGCGAACGGG
rnacentral:rRNA from 1 species